UACGUAGGGGGCUAGCGUUGUCCGGAAUCAUUGGGCGUAAAGCGCGUGUAGGCGGCUCGGCAAGUCCGCUGUGAAAGUCGGGGGCUCAACCCUCGGAUGCCGGUGGAUACUGUCGGGCUAGAGUACGGAAGAGGCGAGUGGAAUUCCUGGUGUAGCGGUGAAAUGCGCAGAUAUCAGGAGGAACACCAAUUGCGAAGGCAGCUCGCUGGGACGUUACUGACGCUGAGACGCGAAAGCGUGGGGAGCAAACAGG
rnacentral:rRNA from 1 species